UACGUAGGUGACAAGCGUUGUCCGGAUUUACUGGGCGUAAAGAGCGCGCAGGCGGUCGUUCAAGUCGAGUGUGAAAGCCCCCGGCUCAACUGGGGAGGGUCACUCGAUACUGAUCGACUCGAAGGCGGGAGAGGGAAGCGGAAUUCCCGGUGUAGUGGUGAAAAUGCGUAGAUAUCGGGAGGAACACCAGUGGCGAAGGCGACUACCUGGCCUGUUCUUGACGCUGAGGCGCGAAAGCUAGGGGAGCAAACGGG
rnacentral:rRNA from 1 species